UGGGGAAUAUUGCACAAUGGGGGAAACCCUGAUGCAGCGACGCCGCGUGAACGAAGAAGGUAUUCGUAUCGUAAAGUUCUGUCCUAUGGGAAGAUAAUGACAGUACCAUAGAAGAAAGCUCCGGCUAAAUACGUGCCAGCAGCCGCGGUAAUACGUAUGGAGCGAGCGUUGUCCGGAAUUAUUGGGCGUAAAGGGUACGCAGGCGGUUUAAUAAGUCGAAUGUUAAAGAUCGGGGCUCAACCCCGCAAAGCAUUGGAAACUGAUAAACUUGAGUAGUGGAGAGGAAAGUGGAAUUCCUAGUGUAGUGGUGAAAUACGUAGAUAUUAGGAGGAAUACCUGUAGCGAAGGCGACUUUCUGGACACGAACUGACGCUGAGGUACGAAAGCGUGGGGAGCAAACAGG
rnacentral:rRNA from 1 species